ensembl:snoRNA small nucleolar RNA U3
AAGACUAUACUUUCAGGGUUCAUUUCUAUAUUUUGUUACUAGAGAAGUUUCUCUGACUGUGUAGAGCACCCAAAACCAAGAGGAAGAGAUGAAGCAUUCUUCCCUGAGCGUGAAGCCGGCUCUUAGUGUUGCUUUCUGCAACUGCUAUUUGCCAUUGAUGACCAUUCCUCUCUCCUAUGGGAGAGUGUGAGGGGGAGAAUGCAGUCUGAGUGGUG